rnacentral:lncRNA from 1 species
UGUUAGUUCUUUUUGUCUUUUGAAAUUUUAAGUCAAUAUGGUUAAGUUCAUUUGCAAGAUUGAUUAAGAAAAGAGUGUAAAAAUGCAAUGACAUAAGGUCAAGGUUUCUAAUUUGCAAUAAAAAGUCUAAGUUUGAAAUCACAAGCAAAUAGGGUUUUUUGAAAAGGGGGAGAGAUUUAAAAUUUAUGAAGUGGGAGGAGAUGAAGAGACUAAUCCUAAGCAAAAAUUUAAAAGUUAAGAGUUGAAAAGAUCUAACCAAUGGGAUGCAAUCCAAUAGACAAGAAUGUCAUAUAGAAACCCACUUUUCCUUUGGACUUUAAAAUCAAGCAAAUAUCAAUAAGCAAGUUGCACAAUGAAGAGUAAGUCAUCAAAUAAAGAUAGCCAUAUCCAAGCUAGCAACUUCAUAGUCUUCUUCAUAAUCUUCCCAUGUAUCAGAU